rnacentral:rRNA from 2 species
GCACUGAAAUUCAUGCGGGGUCCGGGACGGAUGCAAUCGAACGGAGGGGCUGUCGGGUUACAAAGCGGCGAACGGUUUAUAACAUUGGGUAACUUGCCCUGUACUCUGGGAUAAGCCUUGGAAACGAGGUCUAAUACCGGAUAUGACACCGAUCCGCAUGGUUUGGUGUGGAAAGUUCCGGCGGUACAGGAUGGACCCGCGGCCUAUCAGCUUGUUGGUGGGGUAAUGGCCUACCAAGGCAACGACGGGUACCGGCCUGAGAGGGUGAUCGGCCACACUGGGACUGAUACACGGCCCAGACUCCUACGGGAGGCAGCAGUGGGGAAUAUUGCACAAUGGGCGAAAGCUUGAUGCAGCGACUCCGCCUGAGGGAUGACGGCCUUCGGGUUGUAACCCUCUUUCAGCAGGGACUAACCCCAAUUUGACGGUACCUGCCAGAAAAAGCCCGGGCUAAACUACUUCCCAACCAGCCGGCGGUAAAUUACUU